rnacentral:rRNA from 1 species
UACAGAGGGUGCGAGCGUUAAUCGGAUUUACUGGGCGUAAAGCGUGCGUAGGCGGCUUUUUAAGUCGGAUGUGAAAUCCCUGAGCUUAACUUAGGAAUUGCAUUCGAUACUGGGAAGCUAGAGUAUGGGAGAGGAUGGUAGAAUUCCAGGUGUAGCGGUGAAAUGCGUAGAGAUCUGGAGGAAUACCGAUGGCGAAGGCAGCCAUCUGGCCUAAUACUGACGCUGAGGUACGAAAGCAUGGGGGGAGCAAACAGGAUUAGAUACCCUGGUAGUCCAUGCCGUAAACGAUGUCUACUAGCCGUUGGGGCCUUUGAGGCUUUAGUGGCGCAGCUAACGCGAUAAGUAGACCGCCUGGGGAGUACGGUCGCAAGACUAAAACUC